rnacentral:lncRNA from 1 species
GUUCACCCCUCUAGUAUUUGUAUUCUCUGCUUUGUCAGAACAAUCCUGAAAAAACUUGAUCUAAACUUUUUAUUGCUUUUAAUUUGAGACAUUGGAAAAGAAGUUGUAUUUGCAAGACCUUAUGCCUUGAUCUGAUUGUCUGCCUUGUUUUUCUUCUUUACUGCUGGAUACUGAAUUGGUCUAGAAUUUUCUUUCCUUCCACCCCCACUCCCACCCCCUUUUUGUCUGGAAAGCUUGUUUAAACUCUAGCUUCUUCUUUCUUUUUUGUCUUGCAAAAUAGAAGUAUUAGGCCUUUUAAGUACUUGAAAAUUC